GAUGAACGCUGGCGGCGUGCCUAAUACAUGCAAGUCGAGCGAACGGACGAGAAGCUUGCUUCUCUGAUGUUAGCGGCGGACGGGUGAGUAACACAUGGAUAACCUACCUAUAAGACUGGGAUAACUUCGGGAAACCGGAGCUAAUACCGGAUAAUAUUUUGAACCGCAUGGUUCAAAAGUGAAAGACGGUCUUGCUGUCACUUAUAGAUGGAUCCGCGCUGCAUUAGCUAGUUGGUAAGGUAACGGCAUACCAAGGCAACGAUGCAUAGCCGACCUGAGAGGGUGAUCGGCCACACUGGAACUGAGACACGGUCCAGACUCCUACGGGAGGCAGCAGUAGGGAAUCUUCCGCAAUGGGCGAAAGCCUGACGGAGCAACGCCGCGUGAGUGAUGAAGGUCUUCGGAUCGUAAAACUCUGUUAUUAGGGAAGAACAUAUGUGUAAGUAACUGUGCACAUCUUGACGGUACCUAAUCAGAAAGCCACGACUAACUACGUG
rnacentral:rRNA from 1 species